rnacentral:tRNA from 1 species
GUCCCCAUCGUCUAGAGGUCAGGACAUCGGGUUUUCAACCCGGUAACCGGAGUUCAACUCUCCGUGGGGACG